UGAAACGUUAGGACGCAUAAGCAAAGGGGAAACAACAUAGGAAAAUUUUCAAUUAGGAAUCUAAGGUGGUAGCGACGUUGUAGGUGAUGGGUGAUUUCUAGGGUUUGGGUUUUUAUAGCUUCCCAAAUAUGGAGAAAGACCGAGGAGAAGAAAGAGAGAGGGGAAAUACAGAUAGAGCGUGUUGAAGAAAAAUGUGAUCCUCUCAACAUAAUUUCACCACAACUAAUUAAAUAAUAUAGUUUUAUUAUUUUAGGUUCGACCCAUUCGAGACGUAGUGUCUCUUAAUUACAAUCUCUUGCUUCAAGGAAACACUCUUUGAUUCCAUCACAAAGAAACAGAACAUGUGUCUUUGGUUUUGCAGCUGCCCCUAAGUAGAACCUUAGGGUGCCUACGUAUCCCCG
rnacentral:lncRNA from 1 species